ensembl:rRNA 5S_rRNA 5S ribosomal RNA
GACAUUUGGUAGAGACUGUUGAAGGCACCUGGUCCCAGCAGACCCCAGAAGGCGGCCACAGUCGCUGGUGCUGGGGCAAGGUUGUUAAGGGUGAAGCCUGGUGCCAGAUGUGU